GGUUCCAUAGUGUAGCGGUUAGCACAUCUGCUUUACAUGCAGAAGGUCCUGGGUUCGCUCCCAGUGGAGCCA
rfam:Pteropus alecto contig49255, whole genome shotgun sequence.